AGGUUGUACGCGCUGGUUGUUAUGGUUCAUCAUGGUUUCUAAGGAUUAAAGGCAUACGACUAUUAAUGCGUAUCUUUAUACAUUAUUCAGCUCUUACGGUGAUUUCUGAAGUUAUAAAGGAUAUUUCCACGGUGUUGAAUGUGCAAUAAAGCUUUCAGAAACAUCAGUAAAAGUUUCGGCCAUCAUUAGGACAGGGUCCGCUACAGUAAGAGCUUCAUCUUCGCUGGUUCAGAUGUUCGCUGCACGUGCUGACUGACCGUUUCAACGUGACGAUGGUCAAUGGACUGCAGGACUUCGGAAUCGGUGUGAUGGUCUACGGAGCUGAGACACGAACAAGAAUCUGAAAGCCUGCUCCAGACGGGAACAGAAGUUUUCACGGUGUCUGCUGAAAAGAGAGAGAGACAGAAAGACAAAUAAACAGCGAAAAAGACAUCUGUAUGAAGCGUGGCUAUUAUUUCAUUAGACCAUUGCAGCUACAGUGAAAACGUAACGCCAGCAAAGUCGACAGUUUCCAGUGUGGCACGGUACCGGUCGGAUAAGAAGAGAAAACAAGAUCGCAUCGCGUCGGAAAAGAAGUAGGAAAAAAAGGAGGAAACACGAUCGCGUGGGUAGAGAAGGCGUCAGAGAAGAGGCUUGCCGUUUCAUAGCUGUCACAGCCGAGGAAAGUACUGCGACCCGAUUUGUAGAGGCCGACAUUCAGCUACCGCCUUGCAAGUAUCCUUUCUACAGGCUUCAGAGUACACUGUUUGUUUGUUAAUCCCAACUUUACUUCAAGCUGAAGAGUCCUGCUCUGCAAUUAACAGCAGGUGAGGAUUCAUUCGAGCUGCACUCUGUGGACUUGGAGCUGGAGGCCGUGGAGAAACAGAUCUGCGACCUAUAGGCCCAGCGCACCAAGGACGCGGCCCACCCAGGUUUUGUUCACUCCAGUGCCGGGGUACCACGCAGCCUGGAUGCAGCAGCAGCGGAAGACAUGAGCCAAGCCCCAGUCGAGGACCUCUCCCCCUCCGUCGCCACCCGUUUUCGAGAUUUCGACCCGCAACCACUUCGCUCUCCUUCGCGAGACGGAGUGUGACCAAGUGAUCAUCGGAGACUGCAUCAUCCGGCACGUCCGUGCUACCGCGGCUAAAGGUAAGGUGCGCACUCGCUGUUUUCCUGCUGCUCGUGUCGUUGAUGUCGCUGCAUAGGUACCCGUGAUGCUAAAUAAGAACAUCGGAGCUGUGGUCCUCCAUGCUGGCACGAACGACAUCAGGCUGAGGCAGACAGAGAUCCUGAAGAAGGACUUGAGGAGCCUGGUAGAGAAGUUUCACACCACAUCGCCCAUGAUGAGGCUCUACCGUUCUGAUGGCCUGCACCCAAGCAGAGUUGGAGCAGCAGUCAGUUAGCUCUCGAAAUUAGUUAAUAGCUUUCGAAAUAAUCUAAUCACAAUUAAACCUGACAAAGGCCAAAUAAGUAAAGAAAAACAAUUUCUAAAGUUUGGGCUUCUCAACAUUAGAUCCCCUGCACCGAAAGCAAUUAUUGUUAAUGAAAUGAUCUCAGAUUAUAGUUUCGACGCACUCUGUCUUACCGAAACUUGGCUUAGACCAAAUGAAUACAUUGGUCUGAAUGAGUCUACUCCAUCAGGAUAUUCCUAUAAGCAUGAGCCCCGUCAGACUGGUCGUUGCGGUGGUGUUGCAACCAUUUAUAACUAUUCUCUUACCGUCACUCAGAAAAUAGGACCCAGGUUUAGCUCAUUUGAAGUGCUUCUCCUUAAUGUUGCACAAAAAAUCCCUACUACAUCUUUCUCUGGCCAUCGUAUAUAGACCCCCGGGGCCGUACGCUGAUUUUCUUAAAGAGUUUGCAUAUUUACUCUCAGAUCUUUUGAUCAGUUUUGACAAAGUGUUAAUUGUAGGAGAAUUUAACAUUCAUGUAGACGAUGCUAACGAUACUUUAGGACUCGCAUUUAUCGAUUUACUAAAUUCCUUUGGGGUUAAACAAAACAUAAAUAGACCAACUCAUCGUUUUAAUCAUACACUAGAUUUAGUUAUAUCACAUGGGACCGAUGUCACUGAUGUAGCCAUUCUACCUCAAAGCGAUGACAUCACAGACCAUCACCUAUUAGUGUACACUCUACCUGUAGAACAUAUUAGACAUGUCUCUCCACGUUAUCAAUUUGGUAGAACUAUUACUCCGACCACUAAAGACAGAUUCACAAGCACUCUCCCAGAUCUGUCUCAACUUUUUACUAGACCCCUAAAUGCAGAUGAUUUAGAUGAAGUAACUAACAGCAUAGGCACUAUUUUCACCAGCACACUAAACACUGUUGCCCCCAUCCGACUAAUAAAGGUCAGAGAUAAAACACCUGCACCAUGGUAUAAUAGUCAUACUCGCGCCCUCAAGAGAGCAACCCGUAACCUCGAGCGAAAGUGGAGAAAAACCAAAUUAGAAGUUUUUAGAAUUGCGUUUAAAGACAGUUUGUCUUUGUUGCUAUAGACAGGCUCUAAAGGCUGCUAGGGCUGAGCAUCUGAGCAAACUGAUAGAAAUAAACCCAGAUUCUUAUUUAGUACAGUGGUUAGACAAACAAAACAUCAGAUUCCUGGAGAGAGUAUUUCAUCACAGUUUAGUAGUGAGGACUUUAAUUGAUAGUAUCAGGAACAAAAUAUUGGAUGUUCAACAUUUGACAGCAUCUGGUGAUCUAGACCAGCCUAUAGCUCCACAUUUAAAGCUACAAUGCUUUACCAGUAUAGGGCAGGAAGAGCUAUUUAAACUUAUGGCUAACCCACGGCUAAAUCAACAACGUGUUGGUGAGAUCCAAUUCCAACUAGAUUGCUGAAAGAAGUGAUACAUGCAGCUGGAGAGCCUCUUCUGAAUAUUAUUAAUUCCUCGUUAUAUCUAGGUCAUGUCCCAAAAUCUCAAGUUAGCAGUUAUUAAGCGUCUUCUUAAGAAACCUAAACUAGACCCUUAUAUCAAAUUACAGACCUGUUUCAAACCUUCUGUUAAUAUCAACAGUAUUAGAAAAAGUGGUGUCAGCUCAAUUAUGCUCCUUCUUACAGGAAAACAAUAUCCUUGAAGAAUUUCAGUCAGGUUUCAGGCCCCAUCACAGUACAGAAACUGCACUAGUUAAAAUCACAAAUGACUUGCUUUUAGCUUCGGACCAAGGCUGCAUCUCCAUAUCAGUCCUGCUUGAUCUUAGUGCUGUGUUUGACACUAUAUAGAUCAUAACAUUCUUGUAGAUCGCUUACAAAAUCACAUAGGUUUGCAAGGACAGGCAUUAAAAUGGUUUAGAUCCUACCUGUCUGAUAGAUCCCCUUUUGUAGAUUUAAAUGGAGAACUAGUGUAGUGCCAGUGAAAUACGGGGUCCCACAAGGAUCAGUUUUAGGACUUCUGCUUUUCUCAGUAUACAUGCUUCCAUUGGGUAACAUAAUUAGAUGGCAUGGGAUUAGUUUCC